GUCCACGCCCUAACGAUGUCAACUGGUUGUUGGACGGCUUGCUGUUCAGUAACGAAGCUAACGCGUGAAGUUGACCGCCUGGGGAGUACGGCCGCAAGGUUGAACUCAAGGAAUUGACGGGACCCGCACAAGCGGUGGAUGAUGUGGUUUAAUUCGAUGCAACGCGAAACCUUACCUACCCUUGACAUGUCUGGAAGUUUCUAGAGAUAGAUUCGUGCUCGAAAGAGAACCAGAACACAGGUGCUGCAUGGCCGUCGU
rnacentral:rRNA from 1 species